CAGGUAGGUGGUCUCAUUUGUCUGGGGUGAAAGCCUUGGGCUUAACCCAAGAAGUGCCUCGGAAACGGUGAGACUUGAGUACUGGAGAGGGUCGUGGAAUUCCCGGUGUAGCGGUGAAAUGCGUAAAGAUCGGGAGGAACACCAGCGGCGAAGGCGGCGACCUGGACAGUUACUGACACUCAACUGCGAAAGCGUGGGGAGCAAACA
rnacentral:rRNA from 1 species